ACGUGGGCUAGGAAAGGACGGACGACGGAUCCAGUCUAACAAACAGACGAAGAUACCACCACGUAUCCAAUGUACCACCAGAGACAUUCUUCCGAGGACAGGAAGAUCUGUUGGCCAACCCGGCCAGCAUCUACGACCAAUCUACCGAAGCGCAGCUCAGAGUUUGAGGAAAGAGGGGAGACAGGAGGCGAAAAGGGGUUCCCGGUAGCGUUUUCAUCAAAGGCUUUUCCGUCAGCACUUCAGAGUGGCCGUCAGUAUGGAAAUGUGUUGUGCUGCCUGGAAAGCUGUCAGAGAACACAUUUCUUGGAUGGGACCCUGCUAAUUGAACUGGGCUUCUGUCGGCUAUGUUCUCUGGUCCCCUCAUUAUGCACUGUGAGAUGGUAGGGGUCUCUCUCUCACUCUCUCUCUCUCUGUAGUUCACUCUCUCACUGUUUAAUCUGUCAGAUACCUCUCCAACCCAUUGUUUUUUCACCCACACCUUGUGUGUUAGUUGUUAACAUCAAAAGGAACUGUCUCAAUGUCAUGGCAGGUAAAAAAUAAUGUAGGCCUAGAGAUGAACAAGGAAGACUUGAGGAAGGGGACAAUUGAAUAUGUUUACUUGUGACGGGAGAUGUGCAGGUGAGAAGAGACUUCACUUGACUGGGCCGCUCCAGGGUAAACACACACACACACAGUUGUAAGGAGGCCAUUAACUGACAGCAUAGUUCCUGCUCUACUCUCCAGGUUGAACGACAAAAGAAGAAAAAAACAACAACAUGAAAUUCCAAAUACUUAGAUCAAAGAAGAAUAAAUAAACCAGUAACACGAGCAUGUUGACUGUCAGAAAAGAGCAUUUGACUAUUCAAUAUAACACCUUCUUCUUGGGGCCACUUCCUGUCAUGACAUUUGUACUUUGAGCAGAACUGGAGAACAUUCUUUGUAGGUUUUUAAUAGGUCGACAAAAAAAGAAGAUACAACUAAAUAAAUUCUGAAAUAUAUGAUGCUUAGAGUUUAUGACUGUGGACUUGUGUUAAAAAUUAUUCAGUAGCAAAGACAUUCGGUUGCGGUUUUAUUUCAUGUUAUUGUGACAAUAUGAACAAUGCAUUAUAUUGAGUAUUUGUAUAGAUGGGUUAGCUGACAACGUUACCAAAAGAACGAUGUGCACGCUUCAAUGGGGCUGAAGUCUGUGAGGUGUUAUAUACCUGGAGGGACAGAUAGAUACCAACAAUGAGAAGAAGAAAAUUGUGGGGAAUCGUAAGUGACUCGUUUCAGCUAGUUUCAUCUUGUUCUUGAUACCAUGUCUUGUUUUGAGAUGUUUUGAUUCAUUUCAUGUCAACGCUAAUGUGGUUAAAAUUCACUAGCUAGCUAACCAACAACUGUAACCAUGUAUUUGAGAGACAACAAGUGGUUAUUGUGCACAUUUAUUUCUGUUUUCAAUAAACACUGGAGACUAAAUAUAGCUGCCAUGUUGUCAACAGUCUAAGCCAACCCUGUCUGUUCGUCACCAUAGUGUUUACGCACAUCGGUUUUGUUGCUAAACAACCAACCUGUCUAUAAUCAAAUGAUGAAAUGUGCAUUUUGACAAACAGGAAUAAGCAUGUCUUUGGCAUGUUUAGAUGUAUAUUGGAUAGAGCCAGCUCUCAGCCAGCUCUGGGCCGUUGUACAGUAAAUUAUAUAUAACACCUGUAUGGGGGUGUUAUAACACAUCUGAUGAUAUCUAACACCUAUAUGGGGGUGUUAUAACACAUCUGUUGAUAUCUAACACCUAUAUGGGGGUGAUAUAACACAUCUGUUGAUAUUGAACACCUAUAUGGGGGUGUUAUAACACAUCUAAUGAUCU
rnacentral:lncRNA from 1 species